ACAACAUUCGGAAAGCUGCUCUGCCAAGCAAUUUCGACCGCUCGGUGGAAGAUCAUUCCUUUGUCGC
rnacentral:pre_miRNA from 1 species